rfam:Schistosoma haematobium scaffold17_18, whole genome shotgun sequence.
GCACUACUGAGGAGUCCCGAAAUAGGGCGAAACGGCCGUCCAGUGU